CCUACGAGCGGCAGCAGUGAGGAAUAUUGGUCAAUGGGCGCGAGCCUGAACCAGCCAAGUAGCGUGAAGGAUGACUGCCCUACGGGUUGUAAACUUCUUUUAUAAAGGCAUAAAGUGAGGCACGUGUGCCUUUUUGUAUGUACUUUAUGAAUAAGGAUCGGCUAACUCCGUGCCAGCAGCCGCGGUAAUACGGAGGCUCCGAGCGUUAUCCGGAUUUAUUGGGUUUAAAGGGAGCGUAGAUGGGUUGUUAAGUCAGUUGUGAAAGUUUGCGGCUCAACCGUAAAAUUGCAAUUGAUACUGGCAGUCUUGAGUACAGUUGAGGUAGGCGGAAUUCGUGGUGUAGCGGUGAAAUGCUUAGAUAUCACGAAGAACUCCGAGUGCGAAGGCAGCUUACUAAACUGCCACUGACAUUGAUGCUCGAAAGUGUGGGUAUCAAACAGGAUUAGAUACCCCAGUAGUC
rnacentral:rRNA from 1 species